UGGGCGCAAGCCUGAUCCAGCCAUGCCGCGUGUGUGAUGAAGGCCUUAGGGUUGUAAAGCUCUUUCNCCGGUGAAGAUAAUGACGGUAACCGGAGAAGAAGCCCCGGCUAACUUCGUGCCAGCAGCCGCGGUAAUACGAAGGGGGCAAGCGUUGCUCGGAAUCACUGGGCGUAAAGCGUACGUAGGCGGGUCGUUAAGUCAGGGGUGAAAUCCUGGAGCUCAACUCCAGAACUGCCCUUGAUACUGGCGAUCUUGAGUUCGAGAGAGGUUGGUGGAAUUGCGAGUGUAGAGGUGAAAUUCGUAGAUAUUCGCAAGAACACCAGUGGCGAAGGCGGCCAACUGGCUCGAUACUGACGCUGAGGUACGAAAGCGUGGGGAGCAAACAGGAUUAGAUACCCUGGUAGUCCACGCCGUAAACGAUGGAUGCUAGCCGUUAGGCAGCUUGCUGCUUAGUGGCGCAGCUAACGCAUUAAGCWUCCCGCCU
rnacentral:rRNA from 1 species